UACGUAGGUGGCAAGCGUUGUCCGGAUUUACUGGGCGUAAAGAGCGCGCAGGCGGUCAUUCAAGUCGAGUGUGAAAGCCCCCGGCUCAACUGGGGAGGGUCACUCGAUACUGUUUGACUCGAAGGCGGGAGAGGGAAGUGGAAUUCCCGGUGUAGUGGUGAAAUGCGUAGAUAUCGGGAGGAACACCUGUGGCGAAAGCGGCGCACUGGACCACAACUGACGCUGAGGCGCGAAAGCUAGGGGAGCAAACAGG
rnacentral:rRNA from 1 species